rnacentral:snRNA from 1 species
GGACUUUGGCAGCACAUCUACUAAACUAGAAACAAUAGAGAAGAUUAGCAUGGUCCCUGCUGUUAAUGAGACAGCCUGAUUUUAU